AGAAGCAGAUGUGAGACAACUUCGGCAAGAACUGGCUGACACCGUAAAAAAGCAGUCUAUGUCAGAGGCUUCACUGGAAGUCAUGUCACGCUAUUGUGCUAACUUAGACGAUGAGACACAGGAUUUAAAGAACAACUUCCGUCAACUCACAAGUCAGAGACAGGCAGAAUCUCAACAGGUGGAACUCAGAAUUAAAGACUUGGAAUCUGAACUCUCUAAGAUGAAAACUUUGCAAGAAGAUAAUAAAGCAGAGUUUGAAACAUAUAAGCAUCUCUACCUAGUAGAAUUUGAAGUUAGAAAGUCAUUGCAAGAUGAACUAGACAAGUAAGUCCAAACACAGAAUCACAGAAAAUAAAUUUAUUUCCUUAAUUUGUCUCUAAAGCCUAACUUUUAUAGAGCGCGGUGCCUCAGAUUAGUCGGAAGUGAAAGCUGACUAGAUAGUCACUGCGAAGGGGGCGCCUUAGGACAGACUAAUUUAGUACUGUAUCAAGUGUUUCCACACUGUGUAGAGGCAUGCUUGUGAAAGAGGAGGAAAUUAAAGCAGAGGUGAAAGGCAGGGUAAUUCACAGAGUGGCUGACGCUGGCAUGGUGACCUGACUGAGGGGGUGUGUGGAGGCUGGAAAGGGCAGAUCCUGCCUGCAGUGCCGAGUCCAGGCUUCCCCGCCUCUGAAAGCAGAGCACUCCUAGGACGCCUUUCAUAAGCCCAGAGAGCAUACAGCAAAGGAGCAGGGACCCGAGGACACGUUCUGCUAGUCGAUGCCCCAAAUAAGCAUACACAAGGGAAGCCCAGGUGCUCCCAGAGGGGGUUCAGGGCUGUGGGACUUGAUGCUGAGAUGUGGGGUGUGGCUUCCGGGGAAGGAGCUCAGUGGGGCCAGUCUCCCUGCAUGGGGAGCGCCAUGCCUCUCCCUCUAAAAGGUACACUGAACGCUG
rnacentral:lncRNA from 1 species